UACAGAGGUCUCAAGCGUUGUUCGGAAUCACUGGGCGUAAAGGGUGUGUAGGCUGUGCGUUAAGUCAGAUGUGAAAGCCCAGGGCUCAACCUUGGAACUGCAUCCGAUACUGGCGUGCUAGAGAAUUGGAGAGGAGUCUAGAAUUCACGGUGUAGCAGUGAAAUGCGUAGAUAUCGUGAGGAAUACCAAGUGCGAAGGCAGGGCUCUGGACAUUUUCUGACGCUGAGACACGAAGGCUAGGGGAGCAAACGGG
rnacentral:rRNA from 1 species